AAUGGGUCAGCGACUUAUAUUCUGUAGCAAGGUUAACCGAAUAGGGGAGCCGAAGGGAAACCGAGUCUUAACUGGGCGUUAAGUUGCAGGGUAUAGACCCGAAACCCGGUGAUCUAGCCAUGGGCAGGUUGAAGGUUGGGUAACACUAACUGGAGGACCGAACCGACUAAUGUUGAAAAAUUAGCGGAUGACUUGUGGCUGGGGGUGAAAGGCCAAUCAAACCGGGAGAUAGCUGGUUCUCCCCGAAAGCUAUUUAGGUAGCGCCUCGUGAAUUCAUCUCCGGGGGUAGAGCACUGUUUCGGCAAGGGGGUCAUCCCGACUUACCAACCCGAUGCAAACUGCGAAUACCGGAGAAUGUUAUCACGGGAGACACACGGCGGGUGCUAACGUCCGUCGUGAAGAGGGAAACAACCCAGACCGCCAGCUAAGGUCCCAAAGUCAUGGUUAAGUGGGAAACGAUGUGGGAAGGCCCAGACAGCCAGGAUGUUGGCUUAGAAGCAGCCAUCAUUUAAAGAAAGCGUAAUAGCUCACUGGUCGAGUCGGCCUGCGCGGAAGAUGUAACGGGGCUAAACCAUGC
rnacentral:rRNA from 1 species